rnacentral:tRNA from 1 species
GCGUUUAGCUCAGCUGGUUUAGAGCAUCUGCCUUACAAGCAGAGGGUCGGCGGUUCGAAUCCGUCAAC